UGGGGUGUGGCUCCAUGGUAGAGUACUUGCCUCGCAUGCAUGAGGCAAUGGGUUCGAUCCUCAGCAUCACAU
rnacentral:tRNA from 1 species